UACGUAGGGUCCGAGCGUUGUCCGGAAUUAUUGGGCGUAAAGAGCUUGUAGGCGGUUUGUCGCGUCUGCUGUGAAAAUCCGGGGCUCAACCCCGGACUUGCAGUGGGUACGGGCAGACUAGAGUGUGGUAGGGGAGACUGGAAUUCCUGGUGUAGCGGUGAAAUGCGCAGAUAUCAGGAGGAACACCGAUGGCGAAGGCAGGUCUCUGGGCCACUACUGACGCUGAGAAGCGAAAGCAUGGGGAGCGAACAGG
rnacentral:rRNA from 1 species